rnacentral:rRNA from 1 species
UACGUAGGGGGCAAGCGUUGUUCGGAAUCAUUGGGCGUAAAGCGCGUGUAGGCGGCUCGAUAAGUCUGCUGUGAAAGUCCAGGGCUCAACCCUGGGAUGCCGGUGGAUACUGUCGAGCUCGAGUCCGGAAGAGGCGAGUGGAAUUCCUGGUGUAGCGGUGAAAUGCGCAGAUAUCAGGAGGAACACCGAUGGCGAAGGCAGCUCGCUGGGACGUGACUGACGCUGAGACGCGAAAGCGUGGGGAGCAAACAGG